UACGGAGGGUGCGAGCGUUGUCCGGAAUCACUGGGCGUAAAGGGCGCGUAGGCGGCGCGGGAAGUCAACGGUGAAAGCUUGGGGCUCAACUCCGAGUCGGCCGUCGAUACUCCCGUGCUCGAGCACUGUAGAGGCAGAUGGAAUUCCGGGUGUAGCGGUGGAAUGCGUAGAGAUCCGGAAGAACACCGGUGGCGAAGGCGGUCUGCUGGGCAGUUGCUGACGCUGAUGCGCGUCAGCGUGGGGAGCAAACAGG
rnacentral:rRNA from 1 species